AUGGAGCAAUUGGAGAAGAGGAUGGAUGCUGCUGAACAACAAAUCAAAGAGUUGCGUGAAGAUCUUAAUAGGAGAUUUGACCAGCUGGUUGAGAUGAUAAGAAAGGGUGUCCCCCCUGCUAGCAAUGAAGGAGAUUCAUCGAAAGAAGAGGAAGAUGUUCAUCAAGGAAGAAUGAGAGGUAAUCUUGGAGCAAGACCGCCACAACAACAUGUUGUUCAACGUGCUUCAAGAAGCCAAUUUAUGUUGAAGCUUCUGAAGGUGAAGAAUAUGAUGAUGCCCUUGAGGAACCAAAUCUCUACGCAUAUCGGAGAGCACCCAACCCUACAUAUGCAAGAGAUACAUACAAGGUGA
rnacentral:rRNA from 1 species